CACGUAGGGUGCGAGCGUUGUCCGGAAUUACUGGGCGUAAAGCGUGCGCAGGCGGUUCGUUGUGUCGGUGGGGAAAUCCCCGGGCUUAACCUGGGAAUGGCCAUGGAAACUGGCGAACUGGAGUGCGGCAGAGGGGGGUGGAAUUCCGCGUGUAGCAGUGAAAUGCGUAGAGAUGCGGAGGAACACCGAUGGCGAAGGCAGCCCCCCUGGGCUAGCACUGACGCUCAGGCACGAAAGCGUGGGGAGCAAACAGG
rnacentral:rRNA from 1 species